AUCUAUACAAAGAAUCCUCAAUGGUAUGCAUUAUAAUUGUAUAAGAAAUGAAAUACGGCGAAAAUAAUCGAUGUUUUGAAACCCCAAACCCUGGUUCCUCGGAAUUUCCUCGGUAAAUUCCGAGGAAAUUCCGAGGAAACCUGGUUCCUCGGAAUAUUUUCAUUUAACCGGGUAAACCAAGCCGCCAAAUAUUUCGCGAAAAUUGAAUUAAUGAUUUCCGAGGAAAUUCCGACGGAUAUAGUAAAUAUUUCCGAGGAAAUUCCGACGGAUAAUUUCCGUCGGACCCCUCAUUUUAUUAGGUCGAGCCCGACCUUCUUCCCCAUUUCUCUCCGCCGCAAUCUCUCUUUCUCCUGCGAUUUCGUCGACUCCUCUCUUCUCCCUUGCGAUUUGCGGCGCUUUCUCUCUUCUCCCUCGCGAUUUCCACCCUAAUCCUCAUGUAUGAACCCUAUCCCACUCUUUUAGGUUAGAUUUGUAUGGUUUUUAAGUAGAUUUGAUGAUUUUGGAAUGAGAUUUAUAGAUUUUGUUAGGGUGAAUGGUAGAUUUAUAGAUUUUGUUAGGGUGAAUGGUAGAUUUGAUUUGUAUCACUUGAUUUGAAUUUUUUUUUUUAGUUUUUAUUAAUUUUGUGGUUAUAAAAAUCGAAUUUGUAAUUAUAUAUAUAUACUGAAACCGUUUUUUGUAUAUAAAAUCUAUUUUUUGCAUUUUAAAUUCAUUUAUAUAUUUAUUAAACAUUUUUAAAAUCUAUAAAACUUUUUUUAAGAUUAAAAAUCAUAUAUAUAAUAUUUAAAAUCAUUUUUUUGUGGUUAUAAAACGUUUUAUGUAUUUUAUAUAUAAAAUAUAAAUUUCUAUAUUUAUUAAACAUUUUUAAUAUUAUGAAAACUAUUUUUUGUAAUUAUUUAACAUUUUAAAUAUUUUUAAAACUAUUUUUUGUAAUUAUUAACUGUUUUUGUGAUUUAUUUAAACUAUUUUUUUAAUUUUUAUACUAUUUUAUAUUUAUUAAAACUAAUUUUGUAUUUAUAAA
rnacentral:lncRNA from 1 species